AACGAACGCUGGCGGCAGGCCUAACACAUGCAAGACGAACGGGCACCUUCGGGUGUCAGUGGCAGACGGGUGAGUAACGCGUGGGAACCUACCCAGUGGUACGGAAUAACUCGGGGAAACCCGAGCUAAUACCGUAUACGCCCUCAGGGGGAAAGAUUUAUCGCCAUUGGAUGGGCCCGCGUCGGAUUAGCUAGUUGGUGAGGUAACGGCUCACCAAGGCGACGAUCCGUAGCUGGUCUGAGAGGAUGAUCAGCCACACUGGGACUGAGACACGGCCCAGACUCCUACGGGAGGCAGCAGUGGAGAAUAUUGGACAAUGGGCGAAAGCCUGAUCCAGCCAUGCCGCGUGAGUGAAGAAGGCCCUAGGGUUGUAAAGCUCUUUCGGCGGGGAAGAUAAUGACGGUACCCGCAGAAGAAGCCCCGGCUAACUCCGUGCCAGCAGCCGCGGUAAUACGGAGGGGGCUAGCGUUGUUCGGAAUUACUGGGCGUAAAGCGCACGUAGGCGGACUGCU
rnacentral:rRNA from 1 species